rnacentral:piRNA from 1 species
GCUAGGGAUACGGUGCCACUGUC